GGUUGCUCGAUACAGCUUUGGACGGACGUUGCAAUCGGAUGGAGUGCGUGGUUCGUAAAGAAUCCGGGUCAUCUAGUGGACAAGCCGGGGGUGAUACACGUUUAAAGGGUGCGCUUUGAAGGUACGACUCGUGGUCAUGGAUGUUGAUCAAGCAAUGGGGUGCAAGAACUGAACACACAUUUUGAAUGCUUCCGCGAUUAUCUAUUCAAGCUAGAUGUUGAUGUUGUUUUUGAAACAUUGUUAAAUACUAUGUUUUAAACCAGUUAGUACGCUUUGUCACUCUUUAACUUAACUUUGUAAAAACCAAGAAAACAUGUUUUGUUAUAUAAAAUGUAUGUAUUUUCC